AAAAAAAAUCUAAAUCUAAAAUUCCUAAUCAAUGUUUUUAAAGGACCUCUUUAACUAGAUAGGCUAUGUUUAGGACUAUUUUAUUAUAAACUUUUUCUAAAAUGGUAUUUUUGAACUGUGUUGAUAAUUUUUGGAAUCUUAAAUGCUUUUGACAUAGUCUAAUUCUAUUUCUUAACACAUAAUAGGAAUUCAUCAAACCAGAUUUGUUUUAGAAUCUGAGGAAAUCAUGCUUUCUAGCCUUUCCAUUCUGUAGCUUGCUUAGCAUAUUGGUUAGUUCUGAUAGGGAUUACUCCUUAAAAGCAGCCUGGGGGUUCUAUAGGCAGUCUGUUUUUAAGUAUGUUGAAUUGUUUAAGGAAAGGUCUGAUAUAAGCAUGGCUUAUUUAAAUAAAAAUUGACUUGGAGUUUCACCUUCAGGUAGCACUAUAAAUUUGAACUCCUUAAGAUGUUUUUCAUGCUCUAAAAUUCUAAUCCCUAAGGUAAAUAUCUAAGAUGCUAGGAACAAUUUAAAUAUAAUUUUACUGUACCUGCGUUUCUGUUAAGCAGAUCAUAGAUCGUAGAGCUUUAGGAUAACUUCUUUGUUCCUCUUAAAACCCUGAGGGGUGGAGUGGGGGAUGUGUAAGUGAGCAGUGUGCCUAAUCUUCCUUCCUCUCUCUCAAGUGAUCACUCAAUUUUUGAAUUGCUAUUGGUUGUAAUAGGGCCAAGAUAACAGCUACUUGCAUUUGUAUUCAUUUUGGUUCAUAUUUAUGAGCAGGUUUGCUACUAUGUUUGUGGCACCUUUCCCUGUGAAACUUUUGUUAAUAGGAUAUUCCUCUUCACUUAUCUUUAAAAUGAAUAAAUGAGAGAAAUACAAGUCCUUGGAGAUAGAAUUUAUGGUAAAAAAAAAAAAAAAAACCCAGUUCUUUAUGAUAGUCGGUAUCUGUCAUAUAGUUGAACAUGAAGCACAUUUGAGCUUCUGGGUAAAGAACGUGAUGCCAAGAAUCAUAGGGAUGAAAAGAUGAAGAAAACGCAGUACUCACUUACCAUGAACAUUUGGAGCAGCCAGUGUCUCCAUCCAUAGAAUCUCGAAUGAACCCCUAUUGUGGCAGUUAUGAUGCCUUGUAGUUUGGUUGAAAUGCUUUUGCCUUGCAUUAGUCUAUAAAUUCCUUAAAUAUAAAAUCUUUAUUGCUCAGUACAGGGCUUGGUGGAUACUCAGUGAAUAUUUGUUAAAAGAAUGAAAAGCUGUGUUUCUCAAAUGGGGUAUAAAUCAGAAUCACAUGUGGAGCUUUUUUAAAAAAAAUUCGAUAACUCAGUAGUUCUCACCCCUCAGUCUCCAGGAUUGGGACUUGGGUAUGUGUAUAUUAAUGUAUAUUUUUAACAUUUUAUUAUGGAAGAUUUCAAAGAUAUAAAAGAAUAAACAGAAUAGUAAAGUAAACUCCUUGUAUGCAUCACCCAGUUUAAAUGGCAUCAACAUUUAGCUGAUUUUAUUUCACCUAUCCUCCCAACAUUUCUUUUGCCUGGAGUAUUUAAAAAAAACAAAUGUAUUUUAAUAGGAAAUUUCAAACGUACAUAAGAGUAGAAUAGUAUAAUGAGCCUUUAUGUACCUAUUGCCCUUGGUGUAGUGUAUUAAAGCAAAUUCCAGACAUUAUGUCACUUUACUACUAAAUAGGGCAUAUCUAUAUUUUUGUAGCCUCUGUAGGAGAUUCUGAUGCACUGUCCUGCUUUAGAUAAUAUAAACAUAGGGAAAAAUAGUAUCACAGCCAAAGGGCUAUGGGAUUCAGAGGCAUGAACAAUUUCAUUUGGUUUAGUGGAUCUGAGGUGUAAGGGAGGAAAUUUAUCUUUUCCUCGCCUAUCACUAGAUUCAUGGCUGAGGUCUCUCUAACAGAAGACCAACUAUCAAGAGAAAUUUCAACAUAGAAAUUUAUUUAGUAAGUUUUACUUGACACAGGAGCCUUCAUAAAACAUACCUGUGUAUGUUUUCUGUUAGUUAUGAUAUGGAAGAGGAUAGUAAUGGAGAAGCAUAAUUAGAUAAAACAGUAUGAUCUAAUAAUAAACUGGGAAGAACUUAGCAAGGCCUGUUUGCUCAGAUUUUUCUCUGUGACCCUUCAUAUUCAGACUUAAGGAUGUUCUUUUCCUCUGUGUAUAGAGAGGGCACCUCUUAAAUGAGGGUCUUAUGACCUGCAUCAGCGGAAGGUCAGAAAAUCUUUCCUAGGUUUUAUGACCUGCUUCAGGAGAGAAGGUCAAGAUACAAAAGAUAUCCAAAAUUGUAAAGAGUUCCUUUUUGCCCCUUCCUAGUCAAAGAAGGGGUAAGUGCUAUUCUGACUUACUUAACAAAAAAUAACCUUGAACUGGUAGGAUUUUUUUUGACGGUAGGAUUUUUUUUGACGGGAAGAAGUAAGGAAAAGAGCAAUACGGAUGUUUAAAAAUGAGAAGGUGAGAAUCUUAUAGAUGAGUAGGUCUCUGGUACAGAAGUCUUAGUGGAGAGUUGGUACUGGAAUCCUGGUCUAAGGUAUUAGGUUUUAAUUUGCUAGACAAAGAGAACUCAAGCAGUGCUGUCUAGGAGUGUUAUGUAAGCUAGAUUGGACUUUAGAGUCAGGAGACCAUGCGGGAAGAUACUGUGUGAUAAGGGCCUGAAACAUGUUGGUUACAGUGAGACUAGAAAUGGGAUAAAUCCAGAGCUGUUUCACCAGUAGACUUGCCUGAAUAUCCUGUCUGACUGAUUAUGGAUCAGAAAGAAAAGAAGGGGUGAUGGGAAACAAGCCUAGAUUGACUAGAGAAACCUAGAAAUAGAAAAAUCGGGAAGGCAAAGUGAUUUGGAUGAUAAUGCCAUAUAUUCAGUUGUCCCUGGUGGCCAGAUAUUAUAGUAUAGAUAUUAUACAGGCAAAGAAGAACAGAGGGAUAGAGUGUGAAGGUACAGAUUUUGAGUUUAAGCACAUUAGGGGGCUUAGUGUUCUGGAUGAAGAAAACAUAUAAAAGUUAUUGUAUGUUAGGUAUUGUUUGCAAAAGAGUAGAAAAUGGAGAAAUAACCCAGUGGGUUAAAGAAGAAACAGACUAAAUAAACAAACCUGAGUAAGUUGUUCCUAAAUUUUAUUUUAGAGGCAAUUCCUCAUUUUGCUUUAGUUUUCUCAAUUAUUGCCUCACUUUUCUGUUUCUUUCUCUGUCAGCAUACAUGGAAAAAGGAGUUAAUUUUAGAUUCAAAACAAAAA
rnacentral:lncRNA from 1 species